AGUAGGUCAUUAUAUGUGAUGACUGCGUUAGCACACUGGAUACCUUAGAAUCAGCCAGAGUCAGGAUAAGCAAAAGUCCUUAGGCU